UGAACCUUUACAAGAUGGGAGGCCCCAGCCAUUAUCAAUAUUCUUCAGAGAUUGUCUGCCUGGCGUCAGUGGUCACAUAACCAGGACUUGUGAUAUGAACCCAGCUGCUUACACAACCACUCACUACCUGCUCCCAUGCCUUCAUGUGAUCAUGAUUGUGGGGUUUAAGCAGGAGCUACACCUGGCCAAAGAGUGACCUGAAGACAAUUGGAGGGAAGGAGUAUCUUACACUCCUUUUGGUAGGGACAUAUCUCCACCCACAACCCAAUGCUGUGGCAUUAAAAUUAGUUGAACAGUCUGCACCAUCAGAUAACUUUGAAUUCUUUCUCUUGAAUGUCUUGUCAAUGACAUCUUCCAGCCUAGUCCCUCUCCCUACAUGAGAAUAGAUGCGACACAUUCCCAGAGACAAAUUAUUUUUGUUGUUAGAAAUGAAAACCUGAUGCUUAGUCUUAAAUAUUAACUCUGCUGCUCUUCCCACGGGUGCAGACUGACCCAUUGAGCAUUUUUGUUGUCACUCAACCCUUGUUGAAUAUGCCUGCUGGUAAUUUUGGAUGUGUGUCACCAACCUGAAGGAUUUCAGAGCUGAAAGGGUACUUUUGACUCCAACAGCUCCCCACAGAAAAUGAAUAUCAGUGUGGCAUAGGGUGACAUCUACGUACUUUGAUAACAAAUUUACUUUGAACAGAGAAUGUGGAGGUUGCCCCCCAAAAAUCUGAAGGGGAUGCAACAGGACCUUCCUCAAGCAGAGAGUGGGUAGAAUGUUCAACCUGCUUCCUCAAGGAGUGCUUGAGGCAAAUGGCCAAGAUGCAAUGUUACAUGGGGCAUUGACGGACUGAAAGCUAUAUCGUGAAGGUUAAGUGAUGGAAACAAGCUCCAAGACCCUGGAAUAAUUGGACCUGAUUCUAUGCUGUAAUUUCCCAGUUGUUCUAUGUAAAUUGGAUCGAAUCAAUAAACAGACUGGAGUGAAUUUUCAUCUAUUCACAAGUUAUCACGUUGUUAGUUAAAUACCAUCAAACUCUGCUGUUAGUUGGAAGGAACAGAAUGUUUCUGUUUGUUAUCUCUACCACUGUGCUAACAUAGAUAGAUAACAUAGAAAGCUUUCCCUUCUCUGCUGGCCUUAAAAGGAAAAAAAAAUGAUUCCACUUCUGACAUUUCCUGAGAUGCAGUCACCGAUUAAAUAUUAGAUGACUUUAUCAUAACUCAAGUUAUAAAAUGUAAAUAAGGUUGAAAGAGCACAGAGAAAAUUUAAAAGGAUGUUGCUGGGACUGGCGGACCUGAGUUAUAAGGAAAGGUUGAGGACUUUAUUGCUUGGAAUGUAGAAGAUUGAGAGGAGAUUUGAUAGAGGUAUACAAAAUUGUGAGUGGUAUAGAUAGAGUAAAUGCAAGCAGGCUUUUUCUUCGACAACUAGAGGUCAUGGUUUAAGGGUGAAAGGUGAAAAAGUUAAAGGGAACAUGAGGGGGGAACCUCUUCACCCUGAGGGUCGUGAGAGUGUGGAAUGAGCUGCCAGCGCAAGUGGUGCACGCAAGCUCGAUUUCAAUGUUUAGGGGAAGUUUGGAUAGGGACAAUGGUAUGGAGGGCUAUGGGUUGAUGGGAGUAGGCAGUUUAAGUGGUUUGGCAUGGAAUAGAUGGGCUGAAGGGCCUGCUUUUGUGCUGUACUUUCCUAUAGCUGCACCUGAGACAGAGGAACUUUAUGAUUCAUAUGUGUGAAACAGUUUGGGGAAAAAAAUCAGCUUAUUUUCACAACAAAAAGUUGAAAAUACUUUAAAGGAAUUGACAUAAAAUAUUCAGACAUGGUGAGGGAAGUCCUCUGACUAGAGUCAAAAAUGCCAAUGGGAACUGACAACAUAUAUUGAAAUUCCGGUAAGUUUUAGACUUCUGUACAUAUGCUGUUUAGUGUGGAGCUCCAAGCACAAUGACAGAUGAGUGGUCUCAUUUCUAUCAUUGCCUUCUCUCGUACAGGAUCUGAAAUCACAUUGAUUUUUCCAUGGAUUCUAGGCUUGCGGAUUAGGAGGCAUGGGGAAAUUUCAAGCAUUCAGACAUGGAGAUGCCAGAAAGGGCCUGGAUUGAAAAUGAAACAAUUUCACUAAAUCAGCAAGUUAGAAACUACAAAGAAUUUGAAGAGCAAACACGAGGAAAUCUGCAGAUGCUGGAAAUUCAAACAACAACACAUACCAAAUGCUGGUGGAACACAGCAGGCCAGGCAGCAUCUAUAGGGAGAAGCGCUGUCAACGUUUCGGGCCGAGACCCUUCAUCAGGACUAACUGAAAGGAAAGAUCAGUGGAUCAGUGUUGACUCCUUUGCCUGGGAAAGUAGGCCAAGCCUGGCUGGUCCCCUGUCCAUGUCUCCGUGGGUGGAAGUCACUGCCUGGCUGUGACACUGAGGCAAACCUAUGACUAGGAAGGAUACGUUCCCCACGCGCUCAUCUGAGACGUCAAAUGGAUGUUGUCAAGGAAGGGGGGGGAGUUUCACAAGCUGCCUCAUUGCCUGCAGCUGGCAGUAAGAGCUGAGCACAUUGGAACAUUCCUCCUAAAGCAAACACCAGCAACUGAACACCAGUGCUUGCCAUGUAAAAUAUUUACAUUCAUGUUCAUUUGCACUUAUCAUUAGCAGAAUCAUGCCUGGCAGGGGGAUGAAAUACUUUUCUACUGCUGCAUUGGACAGACCUCUGACUGCAGACUCAAGAUGUCUCAAAAAUAUUGACCUCUCUUUGCCUUCUAGAACACAGGAACAUAAAAUCAGUAGAGCACAAUACAGGCCCUUCAGCCAUGAUGUUGUUCUGACCCUUUAGCCUACCCAAGAUCAAUCUAAUCCUUACUUCCCACAUAGUCUAUUUCUCAACAUUUGCCAUUCUUUCAAUCUUCUGGUACUACUCCUGUGGCCAAUGAGGAUGCAAAGCUCACUGUCAAUGGCACAGCAAUCUCUUCCUCACUCCCUGUAGCAUCCUGGGGUAUAUCCUGUCAAGCUCUGGGGACUUAUCUAUCCUAAUGUUUUUCAAAAGUUUAAACUUACCCUCUUUAUUAACUUUGACCAGUUCAAGCAUAUUAGCUUGUUCUAUGCUGAUUUCAUAUUUGUCAAUGUCCCUCUCUCUGGUGAAUUCGGAAGCAAGGUAUUUAUUAAGGACCUACCCUAUCCUGUUAGGUACCUCUCCUAUCUCCAGGCACGUGUUUCCUCUUUUAUCCCUGAGCAGAACUACUCACACUCUAGUCAUCUUCCUCUUCUUCAUGUAUAUAUAGAAUGUCUUGGGGUUUCAUAUCCCCUUCAAACUCUCUUAAGUCCCUUCUUGGCUACCUUAUAACUCCCAAGAGCCCUGUCUGGCCUUUGCUUUCUAAACCUUAAGUAUACUUCCUUCUUCCUCUUGACUAAAUGUUCCACUUCCUUUCCCUUCCUCAAUAGGACAAGCCUAUCCAGAACCCCAUGCACGUGCUCCCUAAACAACCUUUGCAUUUCCAUUUUCUGAGAAUACCUCUUCCCAAUUUAUAAUUCCAGUUUUCUGCCUCAUAGCAUCAUAAUUAGCCCUCCUAAAUACUUUCUCACACAGUCUGCUCCUAUCCUUUUCCAAGGGAAUGGUAAAGGACAGAGGGUUGUGGUCACUGUUUCCAAAAUGCUCACCCACCGAGAGAUCCGGUUCAUUGCCUAGUACAAGAUCCAGUAUGGCCUCUCCUCUAGUCAUCCUGUCCGCAUAUUGUGUAAGGACUCCUUCCUGGAUGUGUCGUGGUUUCUCGUGUCCCACAAAUGACCAGGAGACGCAGAAGAUUCUUCAAGAAGGGUUAAACUUUAAUUUGCAAAUCAAAGCUGAGACAGUCAUUGAACUAGCUGCUGAUUGCCCACCGAUCCUUGGACAUAGAAUGUUUUAUAGCAAUCUCCUGGUUUAGUUGCAUUAGCAUAUGCAAUUGGUCUAUAGUUGCGUAUCACAGGUACAUCUGCCACUAUUGUUUCUACCCAUUGACUUAAUCAUGUUCUAAUCUACAUCUCUUAGCUACCUCUCAUUAACACACCAUUGUCUUCUACAUUCUUAAGGUUUCAUUCUCCUACUAAAUUGGGUACAUGCAUAGCAAAUAGCAAACUCAGACUACAUAAUUUACAUCUCUUAGCUUCCUCUUAUUAACACAACAUUGUCUUCUACAUUCAAUUGGAUAUAUGCAUAGCAAAUAGCAAGUUUCAAAGCUGACUGUACAUAUUUUGGUUACACAGCAAAUAAUGCAACUUUUAUACUCCAAUAGAUGCACGAAACAAAUUCUACCCCAUCUAAACUUCUUGCAUGGAGGAGCUGCCAAUCAUAGUCACCCAUGACAACAAUUCUGUUAGUUUUGCACCUUUCUAAAAUCUGCUUACUUAUCUGUGCCUCAGAGUCCUAGUUGCAAUUGGGGUGGUGGUGGUGGGGCUAUAAAAUACUCCCAAUAGAGUGAUUGCUCCCUUUCUGUUUCUGAUAUCCACCCACACCGACUCAGAAGACAAUUCCUCCCUUUCUGUAGCUGUGAUACUGUCCCUGCUUAGCUAUCCCACUCUGCCACCUCUUUUAAACCCCAGAACUUCCAGCAGCCAUUCCUGGCCUUAUGACAGCCAAAUCUUCGAAAUGGCAACAAGGUUAAUGUACUGAUCCAUGAUCUAAGUUCAUCACCUUUGUUCUCGAUUCUUCUUGCUUUAAAAUAAAUACAUUUCAAUCCAUCCAACUGACUAAAUUUAUGCUCUAUCCACUGCCAAUCUUUCCUCGCACAUUGCAUCUACGUUUUCUCUAACUGUUCCAUCAUCUGACCAAUCAACCUGGUUCCCAUCCCCCUGCCAACCUAGUUUAAGCCCUCCCCAACAGCUCUAGCAAACCUACCUGCAAGGAUAUUGUUCUCGCUUGAGUUCAGGUGUACCCUUUCCCUGUUCAAGUUCAAGUUUAUUGUCAUUCAACAGUACACUUGUAUACCAACAUUCUUCAGGACCAAGGUGCACAACACAGUACAAGUAACUCACACACAUAACACAUAACGUUAUAUUACCACAAAUAAAUUUAUAGACAAUAGACAAUAGGUGCAGAAGUAGACCAUUCGGCCCCUCGAGUCUGCACCGCAGACUAUGACACAAGUUAAAAAGUAAACAGUAGAACACAAUUGGUGCUUCAUACAUAAUAAGACCUGGGUGGUCGCAGGGAGUUCAGUGGUCUUACGGCCUGGGAGAGAAAGUUGUACAGGUCAUACCUCCCCGGGAAGGGAUCCUAAUAAUCCACAAAUCUUAAACUCUGCCCCCCUGCAUCUAUUUUUCAGCUAUGCAUUCACUUGCCAUAAAACCCUCACUGGCAUCACUCCCCUUCUGGUCCUGCUUUUUCAUUCUCUACCUAGGUCUCUUUAUUCUCUCUUCAGGACCCCAUCUUUUUUCCUAGCUGUGUCAUUGGUAUCACUGAGUAUCAUGUCUUCCAAUUGCUCCCCCUCCCCCUUGAGAAUGCUGUGGACUCGAUCUGAACUGUUUCUGAUGCUGGAUCCUGGGAGGAAACAUAUCAUCUGUUUUUAUGUCCACAUAAUCUCCUUCCUGUUCCCUUAACUACUGAAUACGCUAUCACCACUGAUCUCUUCUCCCUUUUUCCCUUCUGAGCCAUAGAGCCAGAUAGCCUGAGGCCUAGUUGCUAUGGCUUUCCACAGGUAGGUUCUUUCCCCCCUUCUUCCAUUGCUCUCCAUCCUAAACCUUGUUUAAUGUCAAACUUUUCCUAUUUCUGAAAAAAGGUCAUUGAAAUGCCCACUUUAUUUGACCUUCCUCAGAUGCCGGAUUAUCUGCUAAUAAUCAAAAGAACUUUUAAUACUAUUUCAUAUUUUAAUAACCAAUGCUAAUUUGACUUUGAAUUUGUCAUUGGUAUUUGAACAUAGACAUUUGAGAAUCUUGCUCCAUUGUCAUUUGUAUUUAAAAAAGAAUUAGCUGAAUAUUUUAACUAUGAGGGAAUUGAGGAUGAUAGGGAACCGUCACAGGUGAUCACCCAUGAAUGACAAGACCAGGACUGAGGGGCUGAGUGGCCUACUCCUGAAGGGUCUUGGCCCGAAACGUUGACUGUAUCUUUUUCCAUAGAUGCUGCCUGGCUGAGUUCCUCCAACACUUUGUGUGUGUUGCUUGGAUUUCAAUCAUCUGCAGACCUUCUCUUGUUUAUGUAUAAUUUCUUCUCCUGUUUUCUUAUGUUGUUCGAUUAUGUUCUUAUAGUCAAAUGACAUUACAAGCCAUUUCACAGAUCAGUUAAAAACCAACCAUCUUACUACGUGUCUGAAGUCACACCAAGGUCUGACUGGGCAAACCUGGUACAUUUCCCUCCGUAAAUGAGCUAGAUAUUUUUUGGUCCCACUCCGAUGAAAAAUGUAGUAGAUUAUUUAAAAUAAUCUGAUUAUUCAUUAUGUUUUCCAGAGCUUUCUGCGUAUAUAAGCUUUCCAUUUUUGUACAAAAGAAAGCAUCUUAUUUCAAGAGAUCGAAGAAAAUUUAAACUAGGCCCCUUUCUCACAAAAAAUAUUGGUUACAAAAAAACAAUAAAGAAUGAUGUUGUCAAAUGAACUAAUGACUCUGCACAGAAAGCUUAGAAACAUAUGAUGUAAAGUGAAUAAAAAAAUCUC